AGCGGCGGAUGGGUGAGUAACACGUGGGGAACCUGCCCCUAAGUCUGGGAUACCAUUUGGAAACAGGUGCUAAUACCGGAUAAUAAAGCAGAUCGCAUGAUCAGCUUUUGAAAGGCGGCGUAAGCUGUCGCUAAGGGAUGGCCCCGCGGUGCAUUAGCUAGUUGGUAAGGUAACGGCUUACCAAGGCGACGAUGCAUAGCCGAGUUGAGAGACUGAUCGGCCACAUUGGGACUGAGACACGGCCCAAACUCCUACGGGAGGCAGCAGUAGGGAAUCUUCCACAAUGGACGCAGGUCUGAUGGAGCAACGCCGCGUGAGUGAAGAAGGUUUUCGGAUCGUAAAGCUCUGUUGUUGGUGAAGAAGGAUAGAGGUAGUAACUGGCCUUUAUUUGACGGUAAUCAACCAGAAAGUCACGGCUAACUACGUGCCAGCAGCCGCGGUAAUACGUAGGUGGCAAGCGUUGUCCGGAUUUAUUGGGCGUAAAGCGAGCGCAGGCGGAAAAAUAAGUCUAAUGUGAAAGCCCUCGGCUUAACCGAGGAACUGCAUCGGAAACUGUUUUUCUUGAGUGCAGAAGAGGAGAGUGGAACUCCAUGUGUAGCGGUGGAAUGCGUAGAUAUAUGGAAGAACACCAGUGGCGAAGGCGGCUCUCUGGUCUGCAACUGACGCUGAGGCUCGAAAGCAUGGGUAGCGAACAGGAUUAGAUACCCUGGUAGUCCAUGCCGUAAACGAUGAGUGCUAAGUGU
rnacentral:rRNA from 1 species